rnacentral:rRNA from 1 species
GAAUAUUGCACAAUGGGCGAAAGCCUGAUGCAGCCAUGCCGCGUGGGUGAAGAAGGCCCUAGGGUUGUAAACCCCUUUCAGCGGGGAAGAUAAUGACGGUACCCGCAGAAGAAGCCCCGGCUAACUCCGUGCCAGCAGCCGCGGUAAUACGGAGGGGGCUAGCGUUGUUCGGAAUUACUGGGCGUAAAGCGCGCGUAGGCGGAUCUGUAAGUUGGGGGUGAAAUCCCGAGGCUCAACCUCGGAACUGCCUUCGAUACUGCAGAUCUCGAGUCCGAGAGAGGUGAGUGGAAUUCCUAGUGUAGAGGUGAAAUUCGUAGAUAUUAGGAAGAACACCAGUGGCGAAGGCGGCUCACUGGCUCGGUACUGACGCUGAGGCGCGAAAGCGUGGGGAGCAAACAGG